AAUAAAAAUAAAUUGUGGGGUAAGGUAAUCCUCCCCAUCUCAUCUUCUCCCCCUUCUUCUCCUUUCUCAGCCGCUGGAGUCCACCUGUACCACCCGACCUCCGACUUCCACUACCUGAAAUACCUCCAAUGGUCACCAUCCGACAGCCGCUGCCACCCAUCCUCCUUGGCCGUCGCCCAUCCUUCUUCUGAAAGUAAGAACCACCAGUACUGGUCCACUGAACAAAUACUACAACCGGCUAAAUUGCAUUUGGGUGUUGUAGUUUGUAAUGAAUAGAUAUAGUUUCUAGAGUUUUGCUUGGGAUUAUUUGGGGGAUCGGUAAAUAUGUAUGGUGGCCGGAUAUGUUAUAUACUUCUAUAUAUAUGUUUGUAAUGUAUGUAUGUAUAUGUUUAUAUAUGUAUGGAAAUAUAUGUAUGGUGACCGGAUGGAGUAUAUUUGAUGGCGGCCGGAGAUGAUUUCCGGUGGGUGGUGGUGGUUGAAUGUGUAUUAUUAGACCGUGAGGAGUAGAGCAUUAUUUAGGCGUUACAAUGAUUGGAACGCCCCCGGAAUGCCCCAUCUCGGCCCCGGGGGCGUUCCGUUCCCUUAUUUCGCGUGCCCCGUCCGAUUUUGAACGCGUCCGAUUUGGGUGGGAGCCGGCGAGGGUUCACGAAGAAGAUGAAGAAAACUCCAAGUUUCAAUGUAUAUAUUUUACUAGGGCUUAGACUCGCGCGAUGCGCGUACAACCUUAAACUUUGAUCCAAUACCGUAAAUAUGUAUAUUAUUGAGUUGGACAAAAUAACUAUAUUAUUAUUAUUAGAUAUCUAAAAAUUUAUUAUCGUCAUAAA